rnacentral:rRNA from 1 species
AGGCAGCAGCAAGGAAUCUUCGGCAAUGGGCGCAAGCCUGACCGAGCGACGCCGCGUGAGUGAAGACGGCCUUCGGGUUGUAAAGCUCUGUGGGCCGGGACGAGGACCCGGGGGCAACCUCGGGGGGGACGGUACCGGCUCAGAAAGCCCCUGCUAACUACGUGCCAGCAGCCGCGGUAAGACGUAGGGGGCGAGCGUUGUCCGGAAUGACUGGGCGUAAAGGGCGUGUAGGCGGCACGGUACGUGGGGCCAACAAGGCGGCGGCUCAACCGCCGCAGCGGUGCCAAACGGCUGCGCUGGAGGGCAGGAGAGGUGCGCGGAAUUCCCGGUGAGCGGUGAAAUGCGUAGAGAUCGGGAAGAACACCCGUGGCGAAGGCGGCGCACUGGCCUGGCCCUGACGCUGAGGCGCGACAGCGUGGGGAGCAAACGGGAUUAGAUACCCCGGUAGUCCACGCCGUAAACGAUGGGGACUAGGUGUCGGCCGGGUUCACCGGUCGGUGCCGGAGUUCACGCACUAAGUCCCCCGCCUGGGGAGUACGGCC